rnacentral:misc_RNA from 1 species
AAGACUAUAGACCUGCGGAGUACCUGCGGAGGGAUCAUUAUCGAGUGUGACCCUCCUGUAAAAAAGGGGGUACCUCCCGUCCUUUUGCUAGGCUCUCCCCCCACCAAAUUUUUUUUGGGAGGGGAAGCUUUUUUAAACCUUCUGCUUCGGUGGGUUUUAACCCCGCCGGAACAACCUCAAAAACUCUUUAUAAUUGUUCUGUCCGAGAAAAAUUUUAUAAAAUGAAAAAACUUUCAACAA